rnacentral:rRNA from 1 species
UAGAGUUUGAUCAUGGCUCAGAUUGAACGCUGGCGGCAGGCUUAACACAUGCAAGUCGAGCGGUAACAGGAAUAGCUUGCUAUUUGCUGACGAGCGGCGGACGGGUGAGUAAUGCUUGGGAAUAUGCCUUAUGGUGGGGGACAACAGUUGGAAACGACUGCUAAUACCGCAUAAUGUCUACGGACCAAAGGGGGGGAUCUUCGGACCUCUCGCCAUUUGAUUAGCCCAAGUGAGAUUAGCUAGUUGGUAAGGUAACGGCUUACCAAGGCGACGAUCUCUAGCUGGUUUGAGAGGAUGAUCAGCCACACUGGGACUGAGACACGGCCCAGACUCCUACGGGAGGCAGCAGUGGGGAAUAUUGCACAAUGGGGGAAACCCUGAUGCAGCCAUGCCGCGUGUGUGAAGAAGGCCUUCGGGUUGUAAAGCACUUUCAGUUGUGAGGAAAGGUGUGUAGUUAAUAGCUGCAUACUGUGACGUUAACAACAGAAGAAGCACCGGCUAACUUCGUGCCAGCAGCCGCGGUAAUACGAGGGGUGCAAGCGUUAAUCGGAAUUACUGGGCGUAAAGCGUUCGUAGGCGGUUGAAUAAGCAAGAUGUGAAAGCCCAGGGCUCAACCUUGGAACUGCAUUUUGAACUGUUCGACUAGAGUACUGUAGAGGGGGGUAGAAUUUCA